CUCAUUAGUGCUCAGGUCAGAAUAGAAAUAGAUCAGUUAAUAGAUUUUGUGUCUGAUGCUCCAUUUUCUCCCCUGUGCAGUUUUUUGUUCCUCACUGGAGCAAUGGUCCCACAAGUGGCCAAUUUGCUCCUCUCAGGGCCUGUGCCUGGGGCUGCCUCUGGGCUGGGGUGGGAUGGCAGCCCCAGGCACAGGCCCUGUGUGCUGUGCAGGGCUGUCUCUGGCAUGAUUCUCUGCAUGCAUCCCAAGGUUUUAAUCCUUGCUGUGAGGUACAUCUUGAGCUGGAUGUUUCACUGGCUGCAGGAGCUGGGAUCCUCUCUGGAGCCCAGAGGGAGGAAAGGCAGCUCCUGGAGCGUGGCCCAUGCUGGAGUCUCUGUGGCUACCAGCAUUUCCAGACGCGUCCAGAGGAGCCAAAGCUCUGCUGCUGCUGGGAGAGAUUCAAUGAGAGAAGCAAUAUUUGGUGCAUAAAUGUGUUCCACAUGCAGGAGGAGGUUUGGAGGGCAGCUGGCACCUCUAAUAGCAGCCAGAAGGGAUCAGACAGCGAGGAGAGAGCCCAGCCAUGCUCGUGUGCCCCACAGCAGGUCACGCACAUUAUGCUCUCUGCCAGGAGAGAUUUCUCUGCACGUUUCAAAGGUAGCCUGGAGAAAAACCUGUUUUUCAGCAGGCAAGAUGUGAAGCUAAAAAUGCAAAGAAUAAAAACUGCACAGUCACUGGCAGAGGUCAGCAUUCACUACCUGUUAUCACGUUGUGCUUUCUAAUGUGCCUCUGUUAUUUCCGCAGCGUGUGCCGAGCAGAGAUCUCGGUUGUGGCAGCUCCUUUCCUUGCAGUGCUGAUGGAGGGUUCAAGGGCCUGACAUCCAGCUGAUCCCUGGGCCCUCAGUCAUUAUUCAAGUCCUUUGAAUUCAAGUCUUCUGCACAGGAGAGCUGUAUCUCAUCUGCCAUGAGCUGAGUAGAAGGAAACACUUCCAGAGCAGGAGGUGAUGUGGACCAGCUGGGAGCUCUGUGAAACUCCCCAGGGAACAUCUCCAUCUCCAGAUCUGAAGACAGAGAGUGGUGCUUGCCUGCUAACGGGACAAAAAGGAAUGUAUUUGGAAGAAAAUAGCAAGAAAAACAUGGAGUUUUUUCCCAGGGGUCUGCAUGAUAAACCUGCUCACAGGAAGUUGGAUGUCUCAGAGCAAGAAAAGGGAAAAAAGCACCCAGGAAGUGCAAACCAAAGAAAAGGAAAACAGCUGAGCAAAGGCAUUUCUGAGCCACAGGCAUUGAACUCUCCAGGACUGCCAGGUAAAACACUGAUGCUGUCCUACUCCCUGCUCCCAAAAUGCAUUUCCCCACUUUCACCAAGGAGCUGUGUCUCCACCUGCAGCUGGGACUUGCUGUAGGACCCUGUUUGUGGCUGAGGCAGUGGUGGGAAGGGAG
rnacentral:lncRNA from 1 species